rnacentral:rRNA from 1 species
CAGCCGCCGCGGUAAUACCGGCGGCCCUAGUGGCGGCCACUAUUAUUGGGCUUAAAGCGUCCGUAGCCGGGUUGGUUAGUCUCCCGGGAAAUCUGGCCGCUUAACGGUCAGAAUGCCGGAGGAUACUCCCAGCCUAGGGAGCGGGAGAGGCCGAGGGUAUUCCCGGAGUAGGGGUGAAAUCCUAUAAUCCCGGGAGGACCACCUGUGGCGAAGGCGCUCGGCUGGAACGCGUCCGACGGUGAGGGACGAAGGCCAGGGGAGCAAACCGGAUUAGAUACCCGGGUAGUCCUGGCUGUAAACGAUGCGGACUUUGUGUCGGACAAGCUAUGAGCUUGUCCGGUGCCGGAGGGAAACCGUUAAGUCCGCCGCCUGGGGAGUACGGCCGCAAGGCUGAAACUUAAAGGAAUUGGCGGG